UACGAAGGGGGCUAGCGUUGCUCGGAAUUACUGGGCGUAAAGCGCACGUAGGCGGAUUGUUAAGUCGGGGGUGAAAUCCUGGAGCUCAACUCCAGAACUGCCUUCGAUACUGGCGAUCUCGAGUUCGGGAGAGGUGAGUGGAACUGCGAGUGUAGAGGUGAAAUUCGUAGAUAUUAGCUAGAACACCAGUGGCGAAGGCGGCCAACUGGACCAUAACUGACGCUGAGGCGCGAAAGCUAGGGGAGCAAACAGG
rnacentral:rRNA from 1 species